CUGGGUUAAGUGCAACCACAGGCUUCAAUAAUCAAGGCUGAUCAGUUUGAGUGAUUCCCAGAAGGGUGUACAACUGGGGAGAGUUUGUCCUAUGAGUUGGGCUUACUUUAUGUUUGCUCCUGGAACCACAAAGCUCUUGACUGGUAGCAGCUACAUUUCAUGCUGGCCUGCAUCUCUACAUCCAAGAAGCAUUGGAGGAUUUAUUUCUUUGAAGUCUAUGAACUAUAUGUCUGACUGAAAGAUAGUACUGAUGGUUUAACCCACUGGGUUUUUUAAAGUCUAUGCAGAGGAAAAGAAUGUAUUACUCACCAGUCCAUCAGCCAGCUCCCUUAUCUCUGAAAAGAGUCCUCAGUAGCAACAGAAACUACAAUAGCAACAGAAACAGAUAGGGUAAGCACUGAGGGCAUUUUAAAUCCAGAAAGAUAUGGGGAGCAAAACAGCACCAUGCAAGUGGGAAGGAUGGAAACAGAACUCACAUUUUCCCUAAAUGGAGUGAAAGGUGGAGUUUCCAACUCCUUUGGGAAACAUCUUCAGGGAGAAAAAAAAUGGAAGAAUUCUUGAGUUUGUCUUCUAUAUCUGUGGUGCUUCUUUCUGCCUGCUGGAGCUCAUGAGCCUGGGAUGGGAUUACUUCAGGAGAAACAAUGUUUGCUGAUCGAUAUCAGAUGGCAGAGAGGAAGGUUUCCUUGACUGAAGAAUGGAUGGUUAUUGCAGAAGAUGGGCUCGGUGAGGAGUCCAUUGUGAUGGUGGGUGUGUGACCAGGGUGAUGCAUGUAUAUGUGUGUAUAUAUAUAUAAUAAUCAGACAACAUUAUAACUUAUGAAAAUGUGUAAUCUCUAGUACGGUUCACCAUCAGAAUUCUGGCAUGCAAGGGGUUAUGAGCAUUUAGCAACUUAUGAUUAAUUUCUUGUAUUAAAGAGGCCCAGUGCAAAAACCUUUCCAAAUGUAAAACAGUACAGAAAGAAGCCUAAAAUCUGCUCUGAAGUGACCCCCACUCUAAGUUACUUUCUGCAAGGAAAUGGGAAGUACACCUCAACAGAGCACCAAGAAUUGAGGUAAUAAUCAUCUUCCUGUGCACAUUAUGCUGAUACCUGAAGUCAUUGCAUUGACAUUUUAACCUGGAGCUUGCUACUGAGAAGCUAUUUUUUCCUGAGGGUGGGGAGGAUGCCUCCCUCAUCCUCUUACAAAUGGGCCUAUUUGUGGAAAUUGCAGGCAGCAAGGCAUCUACUCUGACUUCAUUUUAUGAAGUUGAAUGGAAGAGCAAGGUAAGAUUUUUAUAAGAAGGCGCUAUCAGGUAGAUACACAUUUGACACGGAGAGCGCUGAGCUAUCAACUCCUGCCAAGGGCAGCCAUAUAUUUUGUGUAUCUGGAGCAAAAUGAUAUUUGACACUUCAUUUCAAGACCAAGACAUCUUGAUGCUAAAGGAGAGGAUGAGAGCUAGAGCGGAGAACAUCCAAUUUGACAAAAUGGAUGUUACUGGCCCGAUCUUCCUUAUCCCUGUAAUUGUUGUGUGCUGCCAAGUCAUUUCUGAAUGAUGGUGACCCUAAAGUGAACCUAUCAUGAGGUUUUCUACCAGAAUUUUGUUCCGAGGACCUUCAUUUGAGGCUGAGAAUGUGCGACUUGUCCAAGGACACCCAGGGGACUUUCUUUCUAAGCAUUUUAUAGCUAGCUAGUAGGCAUGGACGAAUUUAUCAGAAUUGUUGUUAAUCGUAAUAAAAUCAUAUCUAUUUUGGGUUCUGAACCGAGUUCUGAGGUGGUUUGGUGCUUCGAAUUUAACUUUCAAUUUGAAGCGUUGACGCCCAUGCCUCGGAAUACCUUUGGAUAACCUUCGGAUAUAUGAGAAAGUGUUUUAAUUCAACCAAUCUCCUGGCUAGCAUUGGGGUUUAAGAGCCCCAUAGAAACCAAGCCUGGAUGGUUUUCUCUCCUGACUAUCCGGGAGAGAAAAUCCCCUUCCCUUCCUGGUUGGUUUCUAUGGGGCUCUUAAGCCUGGUGCUACCCAGGAGAGAAAUCCCCCUUCCCUGCCUGGGGCAUUUCUAUGGGGAUCUUAAACUCGCUCAGAUCCAAAAAAAUUGGGAAUUCACCAAAAAUCUGAGGAUAAAUCAGUAAGUUCAAGAAUGUAUACCGCAUUGAUAAGCAGGUUGUACUGUAUUUGGUUUUCCUCAGCCCCUCUUCCAAUGACCUUGUGAGCUAGAACUUUAAUCUUCAUAACACAGUAACAAGACUGUUGCAUUACAUUAUUGCUGAAACUACUGGUAUACCUUUCCCCUCUUACAAAAAAAUAAAAACCCACAAUUUAAUAA